CCGGGUUGCGGACAGUGUCUGGUGGGUAGUUUGACUGGGGCGGUCUCCUCCUAAAGAGUAACGGAGGAGCACGAAGGUUGGCUAAUCCUGGUCGGACAUCAGGAGGUUAGUGCAAUGGCAUAAGCCAGCUUGACUGCGAGCGUGACGGCGCGAGCAGGUGCGAAAGCAGGUCAUAGUGAUCCGGUGGUUCUGAAUGGAAGGGCCAUCGCUCAACGGAUAAAAGGUACUCCGGGGAUAACAGGCUGAUACCGCCCAAGAGUUCAUAUCGACGGCGGUGUUUGGCACCUCGAUGUCGGCUCAUCACAUCCUGGGGCUGAAGUAGGUCCCAAGGGUAUGGCUGUUCGCCAUUUAAAGUGGUACGCGAGCUGGGUUUAGAACGUCGUGAGACAGUUCGGUCCCUAUCUGCCGUGGGCGCUGGAGAACUGAGGGGGGCUGCUCCUAGUACGAGAGGACCGGAGUGGACGCAUCACUGGUGUUCGGGUUGUCAUGCCAAUGGCACUGCCCGGUAGCUAAAUGCGGAAGAGAUAAGUGCUGAAAGCAUCUAAGCACGAAACUUGCCCCGAGAUGAGUUCUCCCUGAGACUUAGAGUCUCCUGAAGGAACGUUGAAGACGACGACGUUGAUAGGCCGGGUGUGUAAGCGCAGCGAUGCGUUGAGCUAACCGGUACUAAUGAACCGUGAGGCUUAACCUUACAACGCCGAAG
rnacentral:rRNA from 16 species